UACGUAGGGUGCAAGCGUUGUCCGGAUUCAUUGGGCGUAAAGGGCUCGUAGGCGGUUCGAUAAGUCGGGUGUGAAACCCCCAGGCUCAACCUGGGGCCGCCACUCGAUACUGUCGUGACUAGAGUUCGGUAGGGGACCAUGGAAUUCCUGGUGUAGCGGUGAAAUGCGCAGAUAUCAGGAGGAACACCAGCAGCGAAGGCGGUGGUCUGGGCCGAUACUGACGCUGAUGAGCGAAAGCGUGGGGAGCGAACAGG
rnacentral:rRNA from 1 species